rnacentral:rRNA from 1 species
CCUACGGGGGACAGCAGUGGGGAAUAUUGGGCAAUGGGCGAAAGCCUGACCCAGCAAAGCCGCGUGAAGGAAGAAGGCUUUCGGGUUGUAAACUUCUUUUGACAGGGAAGAGCAGAAGACGGUACCUGUCGAAUAAGCCACGGCUAACUACGUGCCAGCAGCCGCGGUAAUACGUAUGGAGCAAGCGUUAUCCGGAUGUACUGGGCGUAAGGGGAGCGUAGGCGGCCUGCCAAGUCUGAUGUGAAAUACCGGGGCUCAACCCCGGGGCUGCAUUGGAAACUGGCAGGCUGGAGUGCCGGAGAGGCAGGCGGAAUUCCUAGUGUAGCGGUGAAAUGCGUAGAUAUUAGGAGGAACACCAGUGGCGAAGGCGGCCUGCUGGACGGUGACUGACGCUGAGGCUCGAAAGCGUGGGGAGCAAACAGGAUUAGAUACCCGAGUAGUC